UAUGGUCAGGGUACUGGGACAGGAAGUGGUUAUGGUCAGGGUAUUGGGUCAGUAAGUGGUUAUGGUCAGGGUAUUGGGUCAGUAAGUGGUUAUGGUCAGGGUAUUGGGGCAGUAAGUGGUUAUGGUCAGGGUAUUGGGUCAGUAAGUGGUUAUGGUCAGGGUAUUGGGGCAGUAAGUGGUUAUGGUCAGGGUAUUGGGGAAGGAAGUGGUUAUGGUCAGGGUAUUGGGUCAGUAAGUGGUUAUGGUCAGGGUAUUGGGUCAGUAAGUGGUUAUGGUCAGGGUAUUGGGUCAGUAAGUGGUUAUGGUCAGGAAGUGGUUAUGGUCAGGGUAUUGGGGCAGGAAGUGGUUAUGGUCAGGGUAUUGGGUCAGGAAGUGGUUAUGGUCAGGGUAUUGGGUCAGUAAGUGGUUAUGGUCAGGGUAUUGGGGCAGGAAGUGGUUAUGGUCAGGGUAUUGGGGCAGGAAGUGGUUAUGGUCAGGGUAUUGGGUCAGUAAGUGGUUAUGGUCAGGGUAUUGGGGCAGGAAGUGGUUAUGGUCAGGGUAUU